CCCAUUGAAGAUGAAGAAUUGGUCUCCUACAUCCUGGCCGGUCUUGACAUCGAGUUCAAUCCCCUGUGUCGGCCAUUGUUGCACGGGUCGAGCCAAUCACUGUGGGGGAACUAUUCUCUCAGCUUCUCAGCUUUGAGU
rnacentral:snoRNA from 1 species